rnacentral:tRNA from 1 species
GGCGAUGGUGGUCGGCACCAGACCGGCCGCGAGCACGGCGGCGGCCGGGCGGGUCAGAUGCCCGGUGGCCAGUGCCAGGCCGGCCACCACGUC